AGGCCUAACACAUGCAAGUCGAGCGGUAGCGGGCCUGACCACUCUCGAGUGGUUCAGGCGCCGACGAGCGGCGGACGGGUGCGUAACACGUAGGAAUCUGCCCGGUAGUGGGGGAUAGCCCGGAGAAAUUCGGAUUAAUACCGCAUACGCCCUAAGGGGGAAAGCAGGGGAUCGGUUCGCCGACCUUGCGCUAUCGGAUGAGCCUGCGUCGGAUUAGCUUGUUGGUGGGGUAAAGGCCUACCAAGGCGACGAUCCGUAGCUGGUCUGAGAGGAUGAUCAGCCACACUGGGACUGAGACACGGCCCAGACUCCUACGGGAGGCAGCAGUGGGGAAUAUUGCACAAUGGGCGAAAGCCUGAUGCAGCCAUGCCGCGUGUGUGAAGAAGGCCCUAGGGUUGUAAAGCACUUUCAGUGGGGAGGAAAGGUCGAAGGUUAAUACCCUUUGGCUGUGACGUUACCCACAAAAGAAGCACCGGCUAACUCCGUGCCAGC
rnacentral:rRNA from 1 species